GAUGAACGCUGGCGGCGUGCCUAAUACAUGCAAGUCGAGCGAACGGACGAGAAGCUUGCUUCUCUGAUGUUAGCGGCGGACGGGUGAGUAACACGUGGAUAACCUACCUAUAAGACUGGGAUAACUUCGGGAAACCGGAGCUAAUACCGGAUAAUAUUUUGAACCGCAUGGUUCAAAAGUGAAAGACGGUCUUGCUGUCACUUAUAGAUGGAUCCGCGCUGCAUUAGCUAGUUGGUAAGGUAACGGCUUACCAAGGCAACGAUGCAUAGCCGACCUGAGAGGGUGAUCGGCCACACUGGAACUGAGACACGGUCCAGACUCCUACGGGAGGCAGCAGUAGGGAAUCUUCCGCAAUGGGCGAAAGCCUGACGGAGCAACGCCGCGUGAGUGAUGAAGGUCUUCGGAUCGUAAAACUCUGUUAUUAGGGAAGAACAUAUGUGUAAGUAACUGUGCACAUCUUGACGGUACCUAAUCAGAAAGCCACGGCUAACUACGUGCCAGCAGCCGCGGUAAUACGUAGGUGGCAAGCGUUAUCCGGAAUUAUUGAGCGUAAAGCGCGCGUAGGCGGUUUUUUAAGUCUGAUGUGAAAGCCCACGGCUCAACCGUGGAGGGUCAUUGGAAACUGGAAAACUUGAGUGCAGAAGAGGAAAGUGGAAUUCCAUGUGUAGCGGUGAAAUGCGCAGAGAUAUGGAGGAACACCAGUGGCGAAGGCGACUUUCUGGUCUGUAACUGACGCUGAUGUGCGAAAGCGUGGGGAUCAAACAGGAUUAGAUACCCUGGUAGUCCACGCCGUAAACGAUGAGUGCUAAGUGUUAGGGGGUUUCCGCCCCUUAGUGCUGCAGCUAACGCAUUAAGCACUCCGCCUGGGGAGUACGACCGCAAGGUUGAAACUCAAAGGAAUUGACGGGGACCCGCACAAGCGGUGGAGCAUGUGGUUUAAUUCGAAGCAACGCGAAGAACCUUACCAAAUCUUGACAUCCUUUGACAACUCUAGAGAUAGAGCUUUCCCCUUCGGGGGACAAAGUGACAGGUGGUGCAUGGUUGUCGUCAGCUCGUGUCGUGAGAUGUUGGGUUAAGUCCCGCAACGAGCGCAACCCUUAAGCUUAGUUGCCAUCAUUAAGUUGGGCACUCUAAGUUGACUGCCGGUGACAAACCGGAGGAAGGUGGGGAUGACGUCAAAUCAUCAUGCCCCUUAUGAUUUGGGCUACACACGUGCUACAAUGGACAAUACAAAGGGCAGCGAAACCGCGAGGUCAAGCAAAUCCCAUAAAGUUGUUCUCAGUUCGGAUUGUAGUCUGCAACUCGACUACAUGAAGCUGGAAUCGCUAGUAAUCGUAGAUCAGCAUGCUACGGUGAAUACGUUCCCGGGUCU
rnacentral:rRNA from 1 species